rnacentral:lncRNA from 1 species
GGCUCGGGAGCUGAGCGAGAGAAGUGGAGGGCAGGGCAACCCAUGCCGGCUGCCACAGCACCCCCUGUAGGGCCGAAUGAGCGGCGUCCGUCCCGCGGCACUCGGGUGAACCGCAGCUUCCUUCAACAAAGAUUAAGCGACUGCGAUAGGCGCUGCAGAUACGAGGAAGGAGGCGACAGGGCCUAGCUGUCACACAGCUUGGUGAAGAAGCCAGGAGACAUAAACACAAGAGUGUAACGGAAAACUUUAUAUGAUAAACAUUUAUGUCGGGUUAGUGAAGCGCAAAGGAAGAACGAUCACUUGUGGGUGGGCGGAGGCUCACAGAAGCGGCGCAAGCUCAACAGGUGGGCAAGGAAGAGCAGAAUGCGUAGACCCAUUUUAGAUCUGCAGUGUAUGUCAGAUGACUGGUGUUUAGGAGAUGAGGAAGAAGCCAUAUAAUCACUUAUGCAAGGAUAAGAAAUCUGAUCCUCCAAGCAGGAGGAUCGCUUGAGCCCAGGAGUUCGAGGCUGCAGUGAGCCAUGAUCGCGCUACGCACCCAGCUUGGGCAUCAGAGCAAGACACUGUCGCAAAAGUGAAAACAAAAUAAAGAAGAUGGCCUGAAGGGGACACCAGAGCCCUUUCUAUCUCUUUUUCAGAAAAAUCCCAAGGAACAAUUGUUUUGGAUUACUUAGUGGACUCAGCGUGGAAACUGCUUGUGUGGCCCAGCUAGGUAGGGGCGUUCAGACAAGGAGACCUGACCUGGAGCUUCUGGGAUGAUUCCAAGGGCAUCUGUGCAGGUGUCUGCAUAUUAGCAGCACCAUCUGCUUGGUUGUCUCUCAAAGGAAGAAGAAUCCUGGCCUGAUGAACUCCUCAAGCUCUCUUCUUUGGGAAAUAGGAAGAUCACAAUUUGAAAUCUUAAUCCAAGAUUGAAAGUUGGUUGCCAUCUUUGCAAUGCCUCCCAGCUGAUGCUUCAACAGGCUACUCCACCAUUCUCUCAGACUGGGUAGUAUGAUAUUGUUACUGAAACACCAGAGGUUUGGUCUACGUCCUGCUGCUCGCUGCACAGAAAGCCAAUGACAGAGACAACGAGUAUUACCAAGGAAUAAGCAAAAAAGAAGAAGGAAGAAGAAGGAGUCGUGCUAUAGCCUUCUGUAGCUACAGAUCGGGUGCUACAGCCGAGGAGAUGGGAGCUUAGUCUCAAAUCCAUCUCCCUGCUGUACUAAAACUAGAGGUUUAUAUAGCAGGGAAGAAGUGUAACAAUGUAUAACAAAAUAGGAACUAGGGAGGGGCAAGGAAGCAAUCAUGAUGAAUGAGGGGUCCAGCAUCUCAUUGUCCAUUGUCUGGAUGUGGUGAUUUUUUAUUUUAUUUUUUUUGAGACAGAGUCUUGCUCUGUCACCCAGGCUGGAGUGCAGUGGUGCCAUCUCAGUUCACAGUUCACUGUAACCGCUGCCUCCUGGGUUCAAGCGGUUCUCCUGCCUCAGCCUCCCAAGUAGCAGGGAUUACAGGCACAAACCACCAUGCCUGUUUUUUUUGUAUUUUUAUUUAUUUUAUUUUAUUUUUUUGAGACAGAGUCUUGCUUUGUCGCCCAGGCUGGAGUGCAGUGGCGCCAUCUUGGCUCUCUGCAACUUUUGCCUCCUGGGUUCAAGCAAUUCUCCUUCUCAGCCUCCUGGGUAGCUGGGAUUACAGGCGCCCACCACCACGCCCAGCUAAUUUUUUGGUAGUUUUAGUAGAGACGGGGUUUCACCAUCUUGGCCAGGCUGGCUGGUCUUGAACUCUUGACCUUGUGAUCUGCCCGCCUUGGCCUCCCAAAGUGCUGGUGAAAGGUGAAGCCGGCUGGGCUUCUGGGUCAUUUGGGGACUUGGAGAAUUUUCUGUCUAGCUAAAGGAUUGUAAAUGCGCCAAUCAGCGCUCUGUGUCUAGCUAAAGGUUUGUAAAUGCACCAAUCAGUGCUCUGUGUCUGGCUAAUGGGGUAGGGGACUUGGAGAACUUUUCUGUCCAGCUGAAGGAUUGUAAAUGCACCAAUCAGCACUCUGUGUCUAGGUUUGUAAAGGCUGCACCAGUCAGUGCUCUGUGUCUAGCUAAUCAGGUGGGGACUUGGAGAACUCCUGUGUCUAACUAAAGGAUUGUAAAUGCACCAAUCAGCACUCUGUGUCUAACUAAAGGAUUUUAAACGCACUCUAUAAAAUGGACCAAUCAGCAGGAUGUGGGUGGGGCCAAAAAGGGAAUAAAAGCAGGCCACCUAGGGAGCAGCGGAAACCCGCCAGGGUCCCCUUCCCUAUUGUGGGAGCUUUGUUCUUUUGCUGUUUGCAAUAAAUCUUGCUGCUGC